GUGCUGGCUUCGGCAGCACAUGUGCUAACAUGGGCACGACACAGAGAAGAGUAGCCUGGCCCCUGUGCAAGGAUGACCCACAAAUUCGUGAAGCAUGCCAUAUGUUU
ensembl:snRNA U6 U6 spliceosomal RNA